AUUGAACGCUGGCGGCAGGCUUAACACAUGCAAGUCGAGCGGAGCGAGGGUGCUUGCACCUUAGCUUAGCGGCGGACGGGUGAGUAAUGCUUAGGAAUCUGCCUAUUAGUGGGGGACAACAUUCCGAAAGGAAUGCUAAUACCGCAUACGCCCUACGGGGGAAAGCAGGGGAUCUUCGGACCUUGCGCUAAUAGAUGAGCCUAAGUCGGAUUAGCUAGUUGGUGGGGUAAAGGCCUACCAAGGCGACGAUCUGUAGCGGGUCUGAGAGGAUGAUCCGCCACACUGGGACUGAGACACGGCCCAGACUCCUACGGGAGGCAGCAGUGGGGAAUAUUGGACAAUGGGCGGAAGCCUGAUCCAGCCAUGCCGCGUGUGUGAAGAAGGCCUUUUGGUUGUAAAGCACUUUAAGCGAGGAGGAGGAGCUCUAGGUUAAUACCCUAGAUGCUUGGACGUUACUCGCAGAAUAAGCACCGGCUAACUCUGUGCCAGCCGCCGCCGUAAAAC
rnacentral:rRNA from 1 species